rnacentral:misc_RNA from 1 species
AAAAUUCCGAAUAUGGAUCCGACCAAGCUGCACGUUCGGCCCAGCAGCAGACCCAAUUUGUUCGCCAGAACCAACUCCAAGAACUCCAAAUCCAAAUGGUGGGUUUCUCUUGCAGCCUUACUUGCGUUUGUGUUGUUCCUCUCUUCUCUCUUCGUCUUUGCAAGGAAUUUGCGGAGCUCUUUGAAGAGAAGGUACGGAAUCGUUAUCGAUGGAGGUAGCACCGGGACUCGAAUCCACGUGUUUGGGUACAGAGUGGAGGGUGGUUAUGGGGUUUUCGAUUUUGGGGAAGAGGGAUUGGCGUCGAUGAAGGUGAAUCCUGGGCUCUCGGCCUAUGCACAACAUCCAGACGGAGCUGGGAAGUCUUUGGUGGAGCUUUUGGAGUAUGCGAAGAGUCGGGUUCCAAGGGAUCAAUGGGGAGUCACUGAAAUUCGGUUAAUGGCAACGGCGGGGCUAAGAUUGCUGGAAUUGGAUGUACAGAACCGCAUAUUAGAGUCUUGCCGGCGGCUGCUUCGGUCUUCGGGGUUUAAGUUCCAGGAUGAAUGGGCGUCGGUCAUCACAGGCUCUGAUGAAGGGACUUAUGCGUGGGUUGCGGCUAACUAUGCACUGGGCACUCUUGGAGGUGAUCCCCUUGAGACAACUGGAAUUAUUGAACUUGGUGGAGCUUCAGCUCAGGUUACUUUUGUUUCAAGUGAACCAGUACCUCCUGAAUUCUCACGUACAGUUAAAUUUGGCAAUAUGACAUAUAAUCUUUACUCUCACAGCUUUCUACAUUUUGGGCAGAACGCCGCUCAUGAUUCCUUAAGAGAAGGACUUAUUACAGGAG